GACGAACGCUGGCGGCGUGCCUAAUACAUGCAAGUUGAGCGCUGAAGGUUGGUACUUGUACCAACUGGAUGAGCAGCGAACGGGUGAGUAACGCGUGGGGAAUCUGCCUUUGAGCAGGGGACAACAUUUGGAAACGAAUGCUAAUACCGCAUAAAAACUUUAAACACAAGUUUUAAGUUUGAAAGAUGCAAUUGCAUCACUCAAAGAUGAUCCCGCGUUGUAUUAGCUAGUUGGUGAGGUAAAGGCUCACCAAGGCGAUGAUACAUAGCCGACCUGAGAGGGUGAUCGGCCACAUUGGGACUGAGACACGGCCCAAACUCCUACGGGAGGCAGCAGUAGGGAAUCUUCGGCAAUGGACGAAAGUCUGACCGAGCAACGCCGCGUGAGUGAAGAAGGUUUUCGGACCGUAAAACUCUGUUGGUAGAGAAGAACGUUGGUGAGAGUGGAAAGCUCACCAAGUGACGGUAACUACCCAGAAAGGGACGGCUAACUACGUG
rnacentral:rRNA from 1 species